rnacentral:rRNA from 1 species
GACGAACGCUGGCGGCGUGCUUAACACAUGCAAGUCGAACGGAAAGGCCCCUUUGGGGGUACUCGAGUGGCGAACGGGUGAGUAACACGUGAGUAACCUGCCCUUGACUUCGGGAUAACUUCAGGAAACUGGGGCUAAUACCGGAUAGGAAUCCUUGCUGCAUGGUGGGGGUUGGAAAGCUUCGGCGGUUUUGGAUGGACUCGCGGCUUAUCAGCGUGUUGGUGGGGUAGUGGCUUACCAAGGCUUUGACGGGUAGCCGGCCUGGGAGGGCGAGCGGCCACAUUUGGACUGGGAUACGGCCCAGACUCCUACGGGGGGCAGCAGUGGGGAAUAUUGCAAAAUGGGCGGAAGCCUGAUGCAGCAACGCCGCGUGCGGGAUGACGGCCUUCGGGUUGUAAACCGCUUUCCGCAGGGGCGAAGCUUGUGGUGACGGUACCUGCAGAAGAAGCACCGGCUAACUACGUG